rnacentral:rRNA from 1 species
UACAGAGGUCUCAAGCGUUGUUCGGAUUCAUUGGGCGUAAAGGGCGCGUAGGCGGCGAGGUAAGUCGGGUGUGAAAUCUCAGAGCUCAACUCUGAAACUGCACUCGAUACUGCUUUGCUAGAGGACUGGAGAGGAGAUUGGAAUUCACGGUGUAGCAGUGAAAUGCGUAGAGAUCGUGAGGAAGACCAGUGGCGAAGGCGGAUCUCUGGACAGUUCCUGACGCUGAGGCGCGAAAGCCAGGGGAGCAAACGGG